rfam:Salmo salar isolate Sally breed double haploid chromosome ssa03, whole genome shotgun sequence.
AUAGCAACCCUAACAAAAGCGUUGACCUAUUUUGUUUGCAGUAAAUGCUUUUUGUUGGGGUAGCUGUU